rnacentral:rRNA from 1 species
AUUGAACGCUGGCGGCAGGCCUAACACAUGCAAGUCGCGCGGAGCGGCGGCCGGGUGAGUAAUGCAUAGGACUCUGCCUGGUAGUGGGGGAUAACUUCCGGAAACGGGCGCUAAUACCGAAUACUAUCAGAUGAGCCUAGGUCUGAUUAGCUCGUUGGUGGGGUAAAGGCCUACCAAGGCGACGAUCCGUAACUGGUCUGGAAGGAUGAUCAUUCACACUGGAACGUAGACACGGUCCAGACUCCUACGGGAUGCAGCAUUGGGGAAUAUUGGACAAUGGGCGAAAUCCUGAUCCAGCCAUGCCGCGUGUGUGAAGAAGGUCUUCGGAUUGUAAAGCACGUUAAGUUGGGAGGCGUUACCAACAGAAUAAGCACCGGCUAACUUCGUGCCAGCCGCCGCGGUAAUUC